rnacentral:rRNA from 1 species
CCUACGGGUGGCAGCAGUGAGGAAGAUUGGUCAAUGGGCGCGAGCCUGAACCAGCCAAGUAGCGUGAAGGAUGACUGCCCUACGGGUUGUAAACUUCUGUUAUAAAGGAAUAAAGUGAGGCACGUGUGCCGUUUUGUAUGUACGUUAUGAAUAAGGAUCGGCUAACUCCGUGCCAGCAGCCGCGGUAAUACGGAGGAUCCGAGCGUUAUCCGGAUUUAUGGGGUUUAAAGGGAGCGUAGAGGGGUUGUUAAGUCAGUUGGGAAAGUUUGCGGCUCAACCGUAAAAUUGCUAUUGAUACUGGCAGCCUUGUGUACAGUUGAGGUAGGCGGACUUCGUGGUGUAGCGGUG